rnacentral:lncRNA from 1 species
UGAAUGGGAAGAUGGAGAUGGAUGUUGAGGGAGUUUCUCCGCGCCCGGAGCCCAUCCCCCGCUCCCAGGGGGCUGGCGGAGCCUGCCAGGCGCCGCCACAGCCGCCCCAGCCCCAGCCGCCGCCGCAGCAGCUGGCUCAGGAUGAACUGCCCGGCGAGAGUGCAGGCGCUGAGGACAGCGACGAUCCCGAGACGAGACCCAACGGCGAGAAAGGAGAGAGCAAGAGAUGCCAUGGUCUACAAGGUGAUGAAUACCACUAUGAGCUCACUACAAGAUCUCAAAGAUUUCAAGCCACUGGCUGUUCCAAAGCAUGAAGCCGCCCUUCUGGAGCAGCAGCAGGAGGCAGGCAGGGAGGAGGCCCUGAGUUUUGCCCAGAUGAUGGACUGUCUCGUUAGGUGUCCAGGCAGCUGCUGAAACAUAGUAAGGAAGAUGCUGCUGAUCCAAAGGAUAAAAACACAGAAACUGAAACCAAGAAGCACCUAAAGUGGACUCACGCCCAGCAUCCCUGCAGACUGAUGUUCUCUCAGCUAUAGUUCUGCAUUGAACUGUUUUUCCUUUGCUAUCACCUGCCUAACACACAGUCCUGGAUGCUUUUGACUGGUUGGAUUUUUUUUUUUUUCUCUGCCUUUUCAUUUUCUUUCCUUUUUUUCCUGCCUUUUCUUUUUCUUUCCUUGACCCUGGGAAUUACAAACAAGAAAUUGCUUUAAAAAGUAUUAUUCGGUGCUGAAAAUAGCCUUGUUUAUGAACAAGUUUUAUCCCUAGGGAUUUCCUGAAAUGCAGUCUCAGGUUACCUUGUAAAUGGGGCUGUGCCAUUUGAUUUGUAUAGUACUGAUCUGUAAGUUAAAAUACAUUUCCUUUCUUUUGUUUCAUUCGUUUUUAAAAAAUUUGCAUCCAGGUAAUGGCCUGAGUCACAUUUGCUUGGCUACUGAAGUGAUCUCAAUGUGUUAUCACUUAGAGUUGAAACAUAAUCAAACAUACGUUAUACCUGGGGCUCGUGCACACUCUUUGAUACAUAUGUCACAUUACAAAGAAACACAAACCUCGUAGGUUGAGAUUUAAUUCCUGUUUGAUCCUGCAGCUAGAAUACUAAAGAAAUUGUAAAUAUCAAAAUUGGCUUCAAAUACCCUGAAUAUAAGCUAGUCAACAGUAAGUGGAUGGCUCCAGAAUACCGUUUUCUAAGAAGCAGGAAUUAGAGAUCAACUGACCUCAUCCAUAAUGUUGCUCAGGUCUGUCUGUGGAUCUGUCCAUUUUGGAGUAAAAAACAAGGCAUGCUUCUGUGAUUGUGUUUAUGAAAACUGUAGUAUUUCAGAUUUAUGUUUUGUGAUUGUGCUUGCCUUGCAAUAAAACACCUUCAGUUGACUCACAUAAGGUCUCUGUCAAUUUCCUGCAAAACUGUGUCCUUAUUGGCUUUCUAAAAAAGUUCAGUGUAGACCUAUCAGUGGUGACCUGCUAGACAUUUCAGCUGGAUCUAGCAUUAUUGCUCUUUCAGAAAUAGCACUAGAGCUGUCCAUUGUCUACACAUGAGGUCAGAGUUGUACAGUCAGAUUCUCAUUUCUUCGUAUUAGCAUCAACUACAGAAAUCUAUAGUCACAGCCUAACCCUGUUACGUAUAUGUGCUGCCAUCUGCCAUUGUGUUCCAACUCUGGAGUCCCUAUUUAUUUCUGAGACUCUAGGAUAAGCCAAAAACCCUGUGGACCUCAGUGUCCUCAUAUACAAAAUGGGGAUAAUGAUACUUCCUAUGAUUGUGG